rnacentral:rRNA from 1 species
GGGUGGACCUGCGGUUUAAUUGGACUCAACGCCGGUAAAACUCACCGGGGGCGNACAGCAAUAUGUAGGUCAAGCUAAAGACUUUACCAGAAUCGCUGAGAGGAGGUGCAUGGCCGUCGUCAGUUCGUACUGUGAAGCAUCCUGUUAAGUCAGGCAACGAGCGAGACCCGUGCCCACUGUUGCCAGCAUGUCCUUCGGGACGAUGGGUACUCUGUGGGGACCGCCGAUGCUAAAUCGGAGGAAGGUGCGGGCUACGGUAGGUCAGUAUGCCCCGAAUCUCCCGGGCUACACGCGGGCUACAAUGACUGGGACAAUGGGCUCCUACCCCGAAAGGGGAUGGUAAUCUCAUAAACCCAGCCGUAGUUCGGAUCGAGGGCUGCAACCCGCCCUCGUGAAGCUGGAAUCCGUAGUAAUCGCGUUUCAACAUAGCGCGGUGAAUACGUCCCUGCUC